GGAAUAUUGGACAAUGGGGGCAACCCUGAUCCAGCCAUGCCGCGUGGGUGAUGAAGGCCUUCGGGUUGUAAAGCCCUUUCGCCGGGGACGAUGAUGACGGUACCCGGUGAAGAAGCAACGGCUAACCCCGUGCCAGCAGCCGCGGGAAGCCGGAGGGUGCUAGCGUGGUUCGGAAUUACUGGGCGUAAAGGGCGCGUAGGCGGCCUGGGAAGUCGGCUUGUGAAAGCCCGGGGCUCAACCCCGGAGGUGCGGCCGAGACUCCCUGGCUGGAGGCCGGAAGAGGAGGGUGGAAUACCCAGUGUAGAGGUGAAAUUCGUAGAUAUUGGGUGGAACACCGGUGGCGAAAGCGGCUCUCUGGUCCGGACCUGACGCUGAGGCGCGAAAGCGUGGGGAGCAAA
rnacentral:rRNA from 1 species